GCAGUCGAGCGGACCGACGGGAGCUUGCUCCCUUAGGUCAGCGGCGGACGGGUGAGUAACACGUGGGUAACCUGCCUGUAAGACUGGGAUAACUCCGGGAAACCGGGGCUAAUACCGGAUGCUUGAUUGAACCGCAUGGUUCCAUCCUAAAAGGGGGCUUUUAACUACCCCUUACCGAUGGACCCGCGGCGCAAUAACUAAUUGGUGAAGUAACGGCUCCCCCAGGCGACCAAGCCUAACCCAACUGAAAGGGUGAACGGCCCCCCUGGGACUGAAACCCGGCCCAAAAUCCUACCGGAAGCAGCAAUAAGGAAUCUUCCCCAAUGGACCAAAGUCUGAAGGAACAACCCCCCGUGAGUGAUGAAAGUUUUUCGAACCUAAAACUCUGUUGUUAAGGAAAAACAAGUACCGUUCGAAUAAGGCGGUCCCUUGACGGUACCUAACCCGAAAGCCCCGGCUAACUACGUGCCAGCAGCCGCGGUAAUACGUAAGUGGCAAGCGUUGUCCGGAAUUAUUGGGCGGUAAGCGGGGGCAGGGGGUUUCUUAAAUCCGAUGUGAAAGCCCCCGGCUCCACCGGGGAAGGUCCUUUGGAAACUGGGGAACUUGAGUGCAAAAGAAGAAAGUGGAAUCCACGUGUAGCGGUGAAAUGCGUAGAGAUGUGGAGGAACACCAGUGGCCGAAGCGACUCUUCUGGUCUGUAACUGACGCUGAGGCGCCGAAAGCGUGGGGGAGCGAACCAGGAUUUAGAUACCUGGUAGUCCACGCCGUAAACGAUGAGUGCUAAGUGUAAGAGGGUUCCGCCCUUAGUGCUUGCAGCAAACGCAUUAAGCACUCCGCCUGGGGAGUACGGUCGCAAGACUGAAACUCAAAGGAAUUGACGGGGGCCGCACAAGCGGUGGAGCAUGUGGUUUAAUUCGAAGCAACGCGAAGAACCUUACCAGGUCUUGACAUCCUCUGACAACCCUAGAGAUAGGGCUUCCCCUUCGGGGGCAGAGUGACAGGUGGUGCAUGGUUGUCGUCAGCUCGUGUCGUGAGAUGUUGGGUUAAGUCCCGCAACGAGCGCAACCCUUGAUCUUAGUUGCCAGCAUUCAGUUGGGCACUCUAAGGUGACUGCCGGUGACAAACCGGAGGAAGGUGGGGAUGACGUCAAAUCAUCAUGCCCCUUAUGACCUGGGCUACACACGUGCUACAAUGGGCAGAACAAAGGGCAGCGAAGCCGCGAGGCUAAGCCAAUCCCACAAAUCUGUUCUCAGUUCGGAUCGCAGUCUGCAACUCGACUGCGUGAAGCUGGAAUCGCUAGUAAUCGCGGAUCAGCAUGCCGCGGUGAAUACGUUCCCGGGCCUUGUACACACCGCCCGUCACACCACGAGAGUUUGUAACACCCGAAGUCGGUGAGGUAACCUUUUGAGCC
rnacentral:rRNA from 2 species